UACAGAGAGUGCAAGCGUUAAUCGGAAUCACUGGGCGUAAAGCGCGCGUAGGUGGAUAUUUAAGUCGGAUGUGAAAGCCCUAGGCUCAACCUGGGAAUUGCAUCCGAUACUAGAUAUCUCGAGUAUGGUAGAGGGAAGUGGAAUUUCCGGUGUAGCGGUGAAAUGCGUAGAUAUCGGAAAGAACACCAGUGGCGAAGGCGGCUUCCUGGACCAAUACUGACACUGAGGCGCGAAAGCGUGGGGAGCAAACAGG
rnacentral:rRNA from 1 species